UACGUAGGGAGCAAGCGUUGUCCGGAAUUACUGGGUGUAAAGGGAGCGUAGGCGGGAGGAUAAGUUGAAUGUGAAAUCUAUGGGCUCAACCCAUAGCUGCGUUCAAAACUGUUCUUCUUGAGUGAAGUAGAGGCAGGCGGAAUUCCUAGUGUAGCGGUGAAAUGCGUAGAUAUUAGGAGGAACACCAGUGGCGAAGGCGGCCUGCUGGGCUUUUACUGACGCUGAGGCUCGAAAGCGUGGGUAGCAAACAG
rnacentral:rRNA from 1 species